UGUGAGUGCCCACCUCACUGGAGUUGUAUCGAUACUUUCCUGCUGUUAGAUUCAAGUAAAUGAGUUCCAUAAAAAGAACAUUUUCAUUGUCUCUCUCUUUUUUCCACUCUUUCUUUUUAUGUAGCUGUUGAAUCUGGACUAAGAUAACAAUAACAAUUAUAUGAGCAGACUGCUAAGAUUUCAAUUAUGCUGACAUUAAAUUCUUGGCUUUACAUAGCCUCUUGGUCUGUAGAAAUAUUUUCUUGUUGCAGGGGAAUUGCUAGGUCACAGCCUGAGCCAAUGGUCAAGCAUCAGGUGAGAAGGCGUGGCUAGCCCAGGAAGCUCAGGUGCGUGCAAUACAUCUGCAUAACUAGAAGGGAUGGAGCCUGGAUCCACCCCCUCCUCACCCUCAUUAGCAGCUAGUAGCCAAGGGAGUAGUAUCUUUCUGCAUAGCAAUUGCACUCCUCUUGAGCUGCCAAUGGUUACUGGAAGGGGUAAGUAACUUUUCCUUUUUUACCUGCUAUUGCUCUGUAGGGCUUGUAACCCAUUAGAAUGCACUGUCAUUGCCUUCUUUUGCCAUAUAAUUGCUAUAAGCAUAAUCAUAGGGUUCAGGCGAAACUUAAAUGUCUGGGAUCCAUAAAGGAGAACAGAUUCCUGGCACAUAGGAGAGCAUUGGUUUUGAAACUGUGGCACCUGUAACAUUGAGGAGCCCUUAAGACUGAAGCAGCAAUAAAGCAUCCACUGCUUGGAGGCUGUGAGUCUGAAUGUAGGUGCUGACAUUGAAUCCAGGACCAUUUUUGGCCUGGAGUGAAAAUGAGAGCAGAGCACCACGUGUCAUAUUUUCCUCCAGCCCUGAGUCUUACCCUUGUUGAUGAGAAGGUCAGGCAGGUUCAGCAACAGACGUUCCUUCAUAGGCAUGGUCAACCUGUCUAUAUGGGAAAAUGUCUGAAGUUAAUUUAGUCAAACCAAAGGAAACACACAUCUCAGAAUUUUCUCUGUUCAGCUUUAGCCUCUCUUUCCUUAAGAUUGGCUGGUAGCAAAAACAAAGCAGGGUAUGCAGCACAAGUGUUCAUCCAGUCUUGUUUAUCCAUGUAAUGAAACUGUAGGGUCAAUAAGUAUACAGAUUGAAGGCUAGAGAAAUUAUUGCGUUAAAAAGGAAUAAUCAGGGAUGAAUGGAAAGCUUACCCAUGUCCUGGGCUCACCAAAAAGAUUCCAAGAUGAGCAGUCUCCAGAGAGAGAUCCUUCCUCAGUGGAAGUCAGCCCUUAAAUGGGGUCUUUCAAAUGGGUCCUCGUAUAUUGCUUCUCUUAUGCCAAGUUCACAAAUGUAAUUCUGAAGGUCCUCCAUGGUGGACCACAAUCCUGUGUUUAAUGGUGUAUCUGAUUUUUUUGGCCAUACCACACGGCAUGCUACCAUUAGCCAAUCGAUUACAGAAUGAUUUUCAUUAGUAUAUUGGACACCUGCAUAUAAUCUUUGCCUAAGGGCAGGGUGCACCAUCAUGGUGGCCAAUUUAGAUAUUUCUAGCCCAUUGACCAUGACUCUUUCUGCCCCUGAAUCCCAUAGUAUUACUAACCAGGUUGGGACACUUUCGUUUGGCUUUUGCCAGAAUCGUUGUACUAUGUCCAUUAAUUCUGUUGGUGUGUAUGGCCUGGUUGUUACAUGUAAAUGUGUUUGGGCAUGGGGCCAUUGAUCGGGGGGUACCCCCUGCCUGUCUAUUUUGUACUUUCUUUGUUUUUUGAGUUAUGAUAGGAUGGAGUUCUAGGGAAUCUGUCAUAAGUAGAACCUCUAAAUCUGAUUUAGAAUUUUAAUUUCCUUGCUAACCCAGGUCCGUUGUUUCAAAAAUUGUUGCUUUCUGCAAGAAUGAUGUUAGCCACCUGUGUUAGGCCUCUGCACUCAUUGACCAAUAGCCUGAUCAGGGCCAAAUGACUGCAGAUGCACACCAAUAUGAUGAGCAGCAAAAUGGCGUUUAUUCACUACUAAACACAGUUUAUAUACAUUUUUACCUACAUAACUGUGCUGUCAUGUCCCACCCUGAUUGGUUCACACCAGAUAACAUUGUGCCUUAUUUGGCCAUUUCCACAUUCUUUUCUCAUCUUUCUUCUUCUCCUGUUUUCUCUGCAUCAAGGUCAGCACAAUAGCACUGUCUCUCUAUGCUUAGGGAGAGGCCUGUCCCGUACAUCCCGUGCCCCCGCAAGGCGCCUACUACAACAUCUCCCACUCCCUAAGCUAAAUACUACUUACACACACGCCUAACCCAUACAUCGCAAAGCAGCGCGAAACGCCUAAUCCUAAAUAUAUUUCGGCACACCAUUCCUACUACUUUUCUUCUACAAUUCUUAAGCAAACAUCAGAGCAACAGGGAAUCCUUUCCCGUGCUCGGCCAAGCCUGGUGCCUACUACAACAAAAAAUCUGUUCAUUAUCUAUUGAAAUAUUACGGAUCUGGCCUAUUGGAAGAUGCAAGGUUGUUUUUUUCCCCUGUUAAUAUACUAAGUUCCUGUUCUAAUUUCUCAAUACAGUCUUUCACUAGCUGAUUUUCAUUUUCUAAAGUAUCAGCUCUUAUUUCAGUUUAGUUUAAGGCAUUCAGCAGUGGCCAUGCCACUGUAGAGGCAGCUAACUGCCACUCUUUUGUAAUUAAUAUAUCUUCAUCUAAACCUUGAAAAUAUUCCACCAUGCAGAAUGGGGAAAUAUUCCCCAUAACUCACAGAGGACCCCAUUUUUCAAUGAUUGGAAGAUCCCAGAAAUCCUGGAAUCUGCCCAGGAACCAUUUUAUCUAGGAGGGUAGUGUUCUCCCCCUGACCCGUUUAUAAGGGUAAGACAUUAUGGUUUUAGUAUAUAUAUUUGGCCUGCCUGGCUUACCAAGUGUAGGGUCAGUAAGCAUACAGAUUGAAGGCUAGAGAAAUUAUCGUGUUAGAAAGGAAUAAUUAGGGAUGAAUGGAAAGGUUAUGCAUGUCCUGGGCUCACCAAAGACUCCAGAAGGAGCAAUCUCCAGAGAGACAUCCUUCCUCAGUGGAAGUCAGCCCUUAAAUGGGGUCUAAGAGAAGUGGAGCCUGGCUCCACCCCUUCUGAUUAUACAGGUGGAGUUGCCUUCACCUGUGCCCCCAUGGCUGACUCUGUGCUUGCCUCAGGUGGUCAGUCAGAGGUUCAGGCUGUGAUUCAACAGUUCCCAUACAGAAACUAUUUUCAAAAUAAUACUUCAGGUGAAAGCUAAGAGAUUCUCUUCUGCAGAAAGUUGCUGCUUUCUUCCAGAAGCAGCAUUUCAGCUGAGCUUCUUGCUUCACCUGGAAAUACUUGAAAGGAAAAAUUAUCCUUAUACAGUUUGGCUCUGACCCUGAAAAAUAUUAACGUGACAACCAUAACUUCCUGUAUGUGCAACAAUAGGGACUAACAACACCUGUGAUCUAGCUGUUUCCACACAAAGGUGUAACAGCCUGCCUGGCUCUGCAAAUUUGCAGAAUUACUGGCACGACUACCAGAGGGACGGGUCACCUACUGAAGUCUACUUUGCUAUUUCUAUGUAUGUGUUUUUUAGUCCCUCCAUAAGGUAUGUUUGUGUUUCUGCAGAGCAUAUGACUUUACUGCACUAGUAAAAGCAAAUGGAGGAAGGAGAGCUCUGUGUUCCCUUGCAGCUGUGUUUCCCAAAGCUCUGCAGCCUGCUGUUGAGAAAGCCAGCUUGGUUGCUGUUGCCUGUUUAUAAAACUCUCUGACUUGGCCCUCAUCUCUCCUAUCAUGACUGUAUCAAACGUCCCUUUGGUGGCCUGCUAUCUGCUGAGUGAUGCUCGCAUCCCACAGUUCCUGCCUAAGGCACUGACACCCACUGUCAUAACAGAAACAGUGGUCAGCCUGGCGAGUACGUGGAGAUUUCUGAAUUUGGAGCAUCUCCAACACAGUGAAAUGCAAGGUGAGAACACAGACUGGAUUUUCAACAGAAAAUUUUCAUUAGGUGCAGAUUUGCUCAGCUGCUUUGUGAUUUACCACCAGCACAGCAUAUCCUCAGACCCUACCAUGCAGCAUCUUUAAACCUACAGCAUAGUGAAAACAAGGUGGAUUUUAUCACAGCAGAAAACCACACCAUGGCAUAGGCAGAAGUGAAUUUAGCCCUUCAAGAUCAAGUGUGAUCUUUGGCCAAAUUAUUAUAUUUAACCUCACUGUGAAAAAGAUGUCCUAAAUUAUGAAGACCCUGCUCUGCCCUUGAAUAAGCACAUCAGACACAGACCUCAGUGGGAGGAGUACCGGCUGCUUUUAUGGUCAGGAUUCAGUCAGGGUGUCUGAUGCUGAAUUGUGCAUGUAGAGAGCAGAAUGAAUUCUCAAGGUCUGAUUUGUGGAUUCUGAAUUGCAAAGUUCAGCGAUCCUUGCACUUGGCAAGCACCUGGAAUUGAAGCAUGUGCAACCAAGCUCUGUAUGUAAUUCUGUAAAAUGAGAGCUGUUUAUCUCAGCGGCUGAAAUAUUCAUUAUUGAAAAUAAGCAUUUCAGUGUUCAGAGGCGGAAUCGUGGGCUGAGAAUAAAAACGACCUGGGAAAUAGUAAAAAACUCCAUGUCUCUAAACGGCGUAGGGUAUGACCCUGCAGAAGGGCGAUGGGAGAACUCCUUCCGCCUUGGAGCUGCCUUCUGACUCUGUCUCAUCGUUUCAGCUUGGCUGCUAUUGGUGGUGGCAGAAAAAUACCGGAAGAAAUUUACAACAGUUUUGGCUGAAAGAGAGGAGGAUGAUUGAGAAAAGGGAUGAAAUUGGAAAACACCAACCUUUGCAUCUUUUCCAGAAUGUUCUAGUAACUGGCAGGCAAUAUGGGCUUUGUGUUAAAAAAGGAGCCUAUUACCACCUCUACUGAGAAAGCACCUGCCAUUUGGCCACGUUUUAUGCCUGAGAAAUCACCCCACUUCAGUGUAGCAGCGAAAUGCUCUCAGAUUCUUUCCUUGCUUUGCUUUCUUUUUGCACUCAGACUUUGCAGGCUGCAGACAGUAUUCUCAAAGGGCAGUGGAACUGGCUCCCUCAAGCCCAGGCCCCAGUAAAUGAAUUUGGGGUCACUUGGGAACUUGCUUGUCCUGUAUUUCAGUGGCUGUUUCCUGGCACUGAUUCAGCAGGUUAAGAGCCAGUUUGAAAUGCUGAAGGAACAAAAAGCAGAAAAUGGAUAUGGGGGGGAAAUUUAGAUGGGGACAAGCAUAUAGUGGAAGUUUUCCACUUUAGAUUAGAUUAUUAUGAUUAUGAUCAUUAUUAUUAUUAUUAUUAUUUAAGGAUAGAAGGCAAAGUAAAGGCAACAGGAACAAACCAUGAAGGAAAAGCAGAUAUUCAGAGGAAAGGCUGGGGCAAAGGAUAGCGUGUGAGCUGCCUGCCCCUGGCAGUGGUGCUGGGAUUGUUUGAGCUGGUGUGGUAAAAGGAGUCUGUUCUCUUUAAAAUGCUAGCCUCAGAAGCAAAGCCAAACAGCUAUUGUGCCAUCCUCUGCAGUAACAUUUUGAUGUGCAAUCUCCACAUUGAUAUGAUUAGUUGUUAAGUCAAAUAAGAGACAGCGUGACAGAAAUGUUAUUUAACUGAUUUGCCAAACUGAAUAAAGUAUAGUCUGGUCUUGUUUACAGUCAAAAUGGGAAAGUGUUUACCAGGAUAUCCAGGGGUCUCCAACAAGAGAAAAAAACAGAUCCAAAGUAAACACUUUCCAAUGCUGCCUUAGAGAAUGGUUCCCAUCUCUGGUUCUGCUACAACAUUUCUGCUACUGCUGAACAAAGUCCUUAAAUCCGGCUUCUUCCCUAUGGUUGCUUGCUGGGAACAGAACAACCAAUCGAUCAUAGCCACUGCCAAAAUCAGCAGGGAUGUGCUUCAGAGCUACGAUGCAUUACUUAGUACUGCAUACACAAAACGAAUCAGGGCCUUAGUAUCUAAAUUAAAUCCCUCUGUGCCUUAUUUCCCCUUCCACUAAAUGAGGAUAUAACAACCUCACUACACCAUGAACAUGUGAAGAUAAACUAAUCCAGGUUUGUAAAGUCAAAUUUAAGUUGUGUGUACUCACAGCAAGGGGCCAUACUCUGAAAACUGAGGAUAAAAGGAAUGUUAAGCAGAUGCUUUUUAAAUGAGUAUUGUGCAGCCUGUGCAGUCAGAGAAACAGAUGUCUUGUAGAAAUACGGCUCAUAAUCAUGUAACUUCAGUUGUUACUGAGUGUGGGUGGGAGAAGGGAACUACCUUACCCAAGCUCUGAACACUGGAACGUACAUCCCUACAGACAUUACUUUUUAGGCAUGUUUGGGAUAUUGUCUGAGCAUCCUGAAGAUGAGCAGAAAAUAAAUUUUGAUAAAGAACUUACACCUCCU
ensembl:lncRNA